rnacentral:rRNA from 1 species
CGGCAACAGCUCAAAUUUGAAAUCUGGCCCUUUCAGGGCCCGAGUUGUAAUUUGGAGAAGAUGCUUCGGGUGUGGCCCCGGUCUAAGUUCCUUGGAACAGGACGUCACAGAGGGUGAGAAUCCCGUACGUGCCCGGUGGCCGCGCCCGUGUGAAGCUCUUUCGACGAGUCGAGUUGUUUGGGAAUGCAGCUCAAAAUGGGUGGUAAAUUUCAUCUAAAGCUAAAUAUUGGCCAGAGACCGAUAGCGCACAAGUAGAGUGAUCGAAAGAUGAAAAGCACUUUGGAAAGAGAGUUAAACAGUACGUGAAAUUGUUGAAAGGGAAGCGCUUGCAACCAGACUUGCGCGCGGCCGAUCAUCCGGUGUUCGCACCGGUGCACUCGACCGCGCGCAGGCCAGCAUCGGUUUGGGUGGCUGGAGAAAGGCCUCGGGAAUGUGGCUCCCUCCGGGGAGUGUUAUAGCCCGAGGCGCAAUGCAGCCUAUCCGGACCGAGGACCGCGCUUCGGCUAGGAUGC